rnacentral:rRNA from 1 species
GACGAACCGAGCGAACGUUGUUCGGAAUAACUGGGCUUAAAGGGCGCGUAGGCGGGCCGCCAAGUCCGAGGUGAAAUCCUCCGGCUCAACCGGAGAACUGCCUCGGAUACUGGAGGCCUCGAGGCGGGUAGGGGCACGCGGAACUGUGGGUGGAGCGGUGAAAUGCGUUGAUAUCCACAGGAACUCCGGUGGCGAAGGCGGCGUGCUGGACCCGAUCUGACGCUGAGGCGCGAAAGCCAGGGGAGCGAACGGG